rnacentral:sRNA from 1 species
CAGACAAAUUUGAAGACUGAAGUCCUCUGUUUCUCCACAGAACUGAUACAGCAUAGACCAUGGUAUAGCAAGUUUUCUCCACACCUUGUCAGCAUGACUGGAUUUGUCCUACAGGGGUCACUCUAGUAGCAUUUCAGGUUAUCCAAUUCAGAUCAGAUCCUCAAAUGGUAUAA